rnacentral:rRNA from 1 species
GAUGAACGCUGGCGGCGUGCCUAAUACAUGCAAGUCGAGCGAACGGACGAGAAGCUUGCUUUUCUGAUGUUAGCGGCGGACGGGUGAGUAACACGUGGAUAACCUACCUAUAAGACUGGGAUAACUUCGGGAAACCGGAGCUAAUACCGGAUAAUAUUUUGAACCGCAUGGUUCAAAAGUGAAAGACGGUCUUGCUGUCACUUACAGAUGGAUCCGCGCUGCAUUAGCUAGUUGGUAAGGUAACGGCUUACCAAGGCAACGAUGCAUAGCCGACCUGAGAGGGUGAUCGGCCACACUGGAACUGAGACACGGUCCAGACUCCUACGGGAGGCAGCAGUAGGGAAUCUUCCGCAAUGGGCGAAGGCCUGACGGAGCAACGCCGCGUGAGUGAUGAAGGUCUUCGGAUCGUAAAACUCUGUUAUUAGGGAAGAACAUAUGUGUAAGUAACUGUGCACAUCUUGACGGUACCUAAUCAGAAAGCCACGGCUAACUACGUG